GUACAAAGACUCGAUUCUGGCACACAGAAGGGGGUGCCACCUGGGAUCAGUCCUCCUUGGGUAGGUAUCAGCUGCGAUUAGAAUCACAGAGUCCCUGGACCCAGGAGGAUUCAACCAGGCACCUUCCAUCAUGCAUUGAGCUCACUGGACACAGGAAGUGCCCAAUGAUCGCUGUGUCUCUGCCCCCUCGUUUCCUAGACCUGCAAGGGCCCUCUGGAGCUUCCACUCCAUUAAUUUUUUUUGUUUUUUUGAGAUAGGAUCUCUGCCACCCAGGCUGGAGUACAGUGGAGUUAUCAUGUCUCACUGCAGCCUCCAACCUUCUGGGCUCAACUUUGCUCCCAUCUCAGCCUCCUGGGUAGGUGCAUGCCACCAUGCCUGGCUAAUUUUUGUUUGUUUGUUUGUUUUCAGAUGGAGUUUUGCUCUUGUUGUCCAGGCUGGGGUGCAAUGGCGUGAUCUCGGCUCACUGCAACCUCUGCCACCAAGGUUCAAUCGAUUAUCCUGCCUCACCCUCCCAAGUAGCUAGGAUUACAGGCACCCACCACCAUGCCCGGCUAAUUUUUGUAUUUUCAGUAGAGACGGGGUUUCACCAUGUUGGCCAGGCUGGUCUCAAACUCCUGACCUCAUGAUCUGCCUGCCUUGGCCUCCAAAAGUGCUAGGAUUACAGGCCUGAGCCACUGCACCUGGCCAAGUUUUGUAUUUUUUGUAGAGACAGGGUUUUGCCAUGUUGCCCAGGCUGGUUUUGAACUCCUAUGCUCAAGCAAUCUGCCCAUCUCAGCCUCCCCAAAGUGCUGAGAUUACCGGCAUGAGCCACCACACCGAGCCCACUCUGGUAAUUUUGAACCAAGAAGGCACAACAGAAGCACCUGGGGAACCAACUGAAUUAGAGUGGGCAUCGGGCAUGUGUAUUAUGACAAAGUUCUUAAUCUGAAUUCCUGAUUUAACAGAGAAACUGAGUCCCCAGGGGUGGUGACUGACCCAGGAAUCCAUAGCUCGUAUCAAGUCCUGGCAAAUAAAAUAUUUUGAAAAGCACAUCUCAUCCAAGUCUCUCCCUAUAGCUUUAAAAGGAAACUCCCGUCGAGUCUCCUUUUCCUGACAGUCUUGGGCAAAAGCAAGUUAGGGAACAGCAGGGAAGGGGAAAAGCCUGGGGAAGGGCAGGAGAGUAGGAACUCCCUCCCCUGAAAGGGCCUUGCAAUCUAAUGAAGUGAAGAGAGGGAGAUUCAGGUGGCAGUUCAAACGCUAACGUUUUAAAGAUGAAAGUAUGCAAUUCAAUUAAAUGUUUAAAUAGUGUUUUCUCAUACUAAAUCACUGAAACGUUUGUGCAUUCCUUGAAUUUCUCAGGGCACUGUUCAUUUUUAUUUAUUGUUGUAACCCAAUGCCCUUAGCUGCGUGAAUGGUGCUAUUCGAAGGAAACUUGUUUUGCAAAGGGGAAAGUUGUCCCAGGUCUCUUAAAAGGUUCAUUAUGUGCGUGGCAACUAGGCUCUAUUAAUAAUCCCGGACUAUAUAGGCAAGGCUCACUUUCCAUUUAGCAUUAUAUUUUCCACAAUUCUGUAAACAGCUCCUCCACACAAACUCUUUUGAUAUUUAAUUCCUCCCUAUUUUUUUUUGCCUAACCACUCUUCUCUCUGGGCCUACUCCUUAUUAAAAAAAAAAAAAAAAAAAAAA
rnacentral:lncRNA from 1 species